AUACAGAGGGUGCGAGCGUUAAUCGGAAUUACUGGGCGUAAAGCGCGCGUAGGCGGCUUGGUCAGUCGGAUGUGAAAGCCCCGGGCUUAACCUGGGAACUGCAUUCGAUACUGUCAAGCUAGAGUAUGGUAGAGGGAAGUGGAAUUUCCGGUGUAGCGGUGAAAUGCGUAGAUAUCGGAAAGAACACCAGUGGCGAAGGCGACUUCCUGGACCAAUACUGACGCUGAGGUGCGAAAGCGUGGGGAGCAAACAGGAUUAGAAACCCCAGUAGUCC
rnacentral:rRNA from 1 species